rnacentral:rRNA from 1 species
GACGAACGCUGGCGGCGUGCCUAACACAUGCAAGUCGAGCGGAGACAAAUGAGUAGCAAUACGAGUUUGUUUUAGCGGCGGACGGGUGAGUAACGCGUGAGCAAUCUGUCUCUUACUGGGGGAUAACGCAUCGAAAGGUGUGCUAAUACCGCAUAAGACCACGGGUAGGACAUCUACCAGGGGUCAAAGGAGCAAUUCGGUAAGAGGUGAGCUCGCGUCUGAUUAGCUAGUUGGUGAGGUAACGGCUCACCAAGGCGACGAUCAGUAGCCGACCUGAGAGGGUGAUCGGCCACACUGGAACUGAGACACGGUCCAGACUCCUACGGGAGGCAGCAGUGGGGAAUAUUGGGCAAUGGGCGAAAGCCUGACCCAGCAACGCCGCGUGAAGGAAGAAGGUUUUCGGAUUGUAAACUUCUAUCCUUGGUGAAGAUAAUGACGGUAGCCAAGAAGGAAGCCCCGGCUAACUACGUGCCAGCCGCCGCGGUAACAC